UCAUGUUCAAACAUCAGACCACCAAAGUCAGUGUGGAGCCUUAACUAAAAGUGAUCAUAAGCAAGUCUCCAUGAAAAAAAAUUAUAUGCUACAGGGGAGGUAUCUAGUCAUACUUGAAUUAAAACAGAAAUCAAUGAACAAAUAACAAAUGGUUGUACACUAGUCAAGAAAACAAAACGUCAAUUGCCCUAGGAUCAAAACAUCAUAUGACAGUUGUCAAAUACUCUUAUCUGGAU